UACGGAGGGUGCAAGCGUUAUCCGGAUUUACUGGGUUUAAAGGGCUCGUAGGCGGCCAACUAAGUCGGACGUGAAAUCCCCAGGCUCAACCUGGGAACUGCGUCCGAUACUGGAUGGCUUGAAUCCGGGAGAGGGAUGCAGAAUUCCAGGUGUAGCGGUGAAAUGCGUAGAUAUCGAGAGGAACACCUGCGGCGAAGGCGGGUUGCUGGGCUGACACUGACGCUGAGGCGCGAAAGCCAGGGGAGCGAACGGG
rnacentral:rRNA from 1 species